rnacentral:tRNA from 1 species
GGUGGGCGCAGUCCGUGCGGGAACCCGACUCGACGGGUCGGGCCGAGACAGUUUCGUGUUCGAGAUGCGACGUUCACCG